rnacentral:rRNA from 1 species
AGUCGAGCGAGCGGAACUAAAGAUUUACUUCGGUAAUGACGUUAGGAAAGCGAGCGGCGGAUGGGUGAGUAACACGUGGGGAAUCUGCCCCAUAGUCUGGGAUACCACUUGGAAACAGGUGCUAAUACCGGAUAAGAAAGCAGAUCGCAUGAUCAGCUUUUAAAAGGCGGCGUAAGCUGUCGCUAUGGGAUGGCCCCGCGGUGCAUUAGCUAGUUGGUAAGGUAAAGGCUUACCAAGGCGAUGAUGCAUAGCCGAGUUGAGAGACUGAUCGGCCACAUUGGGACUGAGACACGGCCCAAACUCCUACGGGAGGCAGCAGUAGGGAAUCUUCCACAAUGGACGCAAGUCUGAUGGAGCAACGCCGCGUGAGUGAAGAAGGUUUUCGGAUCGUAAAGCUCUGUUGUUGGUGAAGAAGGAUAGAGGUAGUAACUGGCCUUUAUUUGACGGUAAUCAACCAGAAAGUCACGGCUAACUACGUGCCAGCAGCCGCGGUAAUACGUAGGUGGCAAGCGUUGUCCGGAUUUAUUGGGCGUAAAGCGAGCGCAGGCGGAAGAAUAAGUCUGAUGUGAAAGCCCUCGGCUUAACCGAGGAACUGCAUCGGAAACUGUUUUUCUUGAGUGCAGAAGAGGAGAGUGGAACUCCAUGUGUAGCGGUGGAAUGCGUAGAUAUAUGGAAGAACACCAGUGGCGAAGGCGGCUCUCUGGUCUGCAACUGACGCUGAGGCUCGAAAGCAUGGGUAGCGAACAGGAUUAGAUACCCUGGUAGUCCAUGCCGUANACGAUGAGUGCUAAGUGUUGGGAGGUUUCCG